GGUGAGUAAUACGUGAGUAACCUGCCCUUGACUCUGGGAUAAGCCUGGGAAACUGGGUCUAAUACUGGAUACUACCUCUUACCGCAUGGUGGGUGGUGGAAAGGGUUUUACUGGUUUUGGAUGGGCUCACGGCCUAUCAGCUUGUUGGUGGGGUAAUGGCUCACCAAGGCGACGACGGGUAGCCGGCCUGAGAGGGUGACCGGCCACACUGGGACUGAGACACGGCCCAGACUCCUACGGGAGGCAGCAGUGGGGAAUAUUGCACAAUGGGCGGAAGCCUGAUGCAGCGACGCCGCGUGAGGGAUGACGGCCUUCGGGUUGUAAACCUCUUUCAGUAGGGAAGAAGCGAGAGUGACGGUACCUGCAGAAGAAGCGCCGGCUAACUACGUGCCAGCAGCCGCGGUAAUACGUAGGGCGCAAGCGUUGUCCGGAAUUAUUGGGCGUAAAGAGCUCGUAGGCGGUUUGUCGCGUCUGCUGUGAAAGCCCGGGGCUCAACCCCGGGUCUGCAGUGGGUACGGGCAGACUAGAGUGCAGUAGGGGAGACUGGAAUUCCUGGUGUAGCGGUGAAAUGCGCAGAUAUCAGGAGGAACACCGAUGGCGAAGGCAGGUCUCUGGGCUGUUACUGACGCUGAGGAGCGAAAGCAUGGGGAGCGAACAGGAUUAGAUACCCUGGUAGUCCAUGCCGUAAACGUUGGGCACUAGGUGUGGGGGACAUUCCACGUUUUCCGCGCCGUAGCUAACGCAUUAAGUGCCCCGCCUGGGGAGUACGGCCGCAAGGCUAAAACUCAAAGGAAUUGACGGGGGCCCGCACAAGCGGCGGAGCAUGCGGAUUAAUUCGAUGCAACGCGAAGAACCUUACCAAGGCUUGACAUUCACCGGACCGCCCCAGAGAUGGGGUUUCCCUUCGGGGCUGGUGGACAGGUGGUGCAUGGUUGUCGUCAGCUCGUGUCGUGAGAUGUUGGGUUAAGUCCCGCAACGAGCGCAACCCUCGUUCUAUGUUGCCAGCACGUGAUGGUGGGGACUCAUAGGAGACUGCCGGGGUCAACUCGGAGGAAGGUGGGGAUGACGUCAAAUCAUCAUGCCCCUUAUGUCUUGGGCUUCACGCAUGCUACAAUGGCCGGUACAAAGGGUUGCGAUACUGUGAGGUGGAGCUAAUCCCAAAAAGCCGGUCUCAGUUCGGAUUGAGGUCUGCAACUCGACCUCAUGAAGUCGGAGUCGCUAGUAAUCGCAGAUCAGCAACGCUGCGGUGAAUACGUUCCCGGGCCUUGUACACACCGCCCGUCAAGUCACGAAAGUUGGUAACACCC
rnacentral:rRNA from 1 species